UGGGGAAUAUUGCACAAUGGGCGCAAGCCUGAUGCAGCGACGCCGCGUGGGGGAUGACGGCCUUCGGGUUGUAAACCCCUUUCGCUAGGGACGAAGAUUUUUGUGACGGUACCUAGAUAAGAAGCACCCGCCAACCACGUGCCAGCAGCCGCGGUAAUACGUAGGGUGCGAGCGUUGUCCGGAAUUACUGGGCGUAAAGGGCUCGUAGGUGGUUUGUCGAGUCGUCUGUGAAAUUCCGGGGCUUAACUCCGGGCGUGCAGGCGAUACGGGCAUAACUUGAGUACUGUAGGGGUAACUGGAAUUCCUGGUGUAGCGGUGAAAUGCGCAGAUAUCAGGAGGAACACCGAUGGCGAAGGCAGGUUACUGGGCAGUUACUGACGCUGAGGAGCGAAAGCAUGGGUAGCAAACAGG
rnacentral:rRNA from 1 species